rnacentral:rRNA from 1 species
UAUUUGUUGAUUGGCUUGUUUUAUGUAAUUUGUAUUUGUUUAUAUUUUAAUUGAAGAAUCAUUAGGGUUAUUGUAUUUUUGUGAUUUAAUUUUUUAAACGAUAGUUUAUUUGUACUGUGAAGGGUAGAUUAUUAUUUUAAUGUUUAUUUAAAAGUUGAUUUUAUUUGUUGUACCUUGUGUAUCAGGGUUUAUUGAAUUUUAUUAUUUAUUUUUAUUUCCCGAUUUUGAAGGAGUUAAUAAUUUAUGUUAGUUACUGUUUUAGUAUUAUUAAAAAUAAUUUAUUAGUAAUGAAAUGUUAUUCGUCUUUGGUGGUCUCUGGUUUUUCAAGAAAUGAAUUUAAUUCAUACAUCUUAUUUAAUUUCUGUUGUUUUUUAUUUAUUUUAAUUUGAUGUUAAGAUUAAGGGGGAUUAGCUCCUUAUUUUAUUUUUAUAAUUUUCUUAUAUAUUUAGUUUUGUGGAUUUUAUAGUGAUUUUCAAUUUGAUUAUGUUAAAAUUUUAUUUGUUCUUUUGUUUAUUUUAUUUUAUUUAAUUUUUUAUUGAAAUAUUUGUUUUAAUUUGUGGUUGCAUGGUGAUUAUUGUGAAAUUAGUAAAUUUAUUUUUUAUGUUGUAUUAUUGGAUGUUAAUUUCUUUUAAGGAAUUAGGCAAAUUUUUUAUGUUCGCCUGUUUAACAAAAACAUCUUUUCUUGUUAGUUUUUGAAGUAUGGCCUGCCCACUGACUUUGAGUUGAAGGGCCGCGGUAUUUUGACCGUGCAAAGGUAGCAUAAUCAUUAGUUCUUUAAUUGUGAUCUGGUAUGAAUGGCUUGACGAGAUAUAAGCUGUCUUAAGAGUAUUGUUUAUUGAAUUUAGUUUUUGAGUUAAAAUUCUUAGAUGUUUUUAUGGGACGAGAAGACCCUAUAGAGUUUGACAUUUGUUUUGUUUAGGUUUAGUAGUUUGUUUUAUUUAUAUAAGCUGAAUUAAUGUUUUGUUGGGGUGAUGGGAGGAAUUUAUUUAACUCCUCUUUGCUUUUAUAUAUUUAUUUAUAUUUUGUUUGAUCCAUUUAUUUUGAUUAUAAGAUUAAAUUACCUUAGGGAUAACAGCGUUAUCUUCCCUGAGAGUUCUUAUUGGCGGGGAGGUUUGCGACCUCGAUGUUGGAUUAAGGUGAAUUUUUGGUGCAGGAGCUGAAGUUGAUUGGGUCUGUUCGACCUUUAAAAUCUUACAUGAUCUGAGUUCAAACCGGCGUGAGCCAGGUUGGUUUCUAUCUAUAAAUAGUUUUUAUACCUCAGUACGAGAGGACCGGGUAUUUGGAAUAAUUUUGUUUAAUAUGAUUGUCAUUAAUAUUGUU